rnacentral:rRNA from 1 species
AUUGAACGCUGGCGGCAGGCCUAACACAUGCAAGUCGAACGGUAACAGGAAACAGCUUGCUGUUUCGCUGACGAGUGGCGGACGGGUGAGUAAUGUCUGGGAAACUGCCUGAUGGAGGGGGAUAACUACUGGAAACGGUAGCUAAUACCGCAUAACGUCGCAAGACCAAAGAGGGGGACCUUCGGGCCUCUUGCCAUCGGAUGUGCCCAGAUGGGAUUAGCUAGUAGGUGGGGUAACGGCUCACCUAGGCGACGAUCCCUAGCUGGUCUGAGAGGAUGACCAGCCACACUGGAACUGAGACACGGUCCAGACUCCUACGGGAGGCAGCAGUGGGGAAUAUUGGACAAUGGGCGCAAGCCUGAUGCAGCCAUGCCGCGUGUAUGAAGAAGGCCUUCGGGUUGUAAAGUACUUUCAGCGGGGAGGAAGGGAGUAAAGUUAAUACCUUUACUCAUUGACGUUACCCGCAGAAGAAGCACCGGCUAACUCCGUG